rnacentral:tRNA from 1 species
CAGGGAGACAAAACUGAUUAUGAUGACUGAAUAAAUUGUUCAGACCAUAAUCCUGUCACCUUAGGUCGAUCGGUACCUCAGAUUAAUACCCUUUGAUUAAAUAAUGAGAAUUCAUUCUUUGGCUAGGUUGUUAAUUUCAGUUCCUAAACUUGUCUAGGUCACACCCAACAAACUUUUCUUCUGGGCUAUUAGCUCAGGUGGUUAGAGCGCACCCCUGAUAAGGGUGAGGUCCCUGGUUCAAGUCCAGGAUGGCCCAUUCGUUGUUGGGGGUAUAGCUCAGUUGGUAGAGCGCCUGCUUUGCAAGCAGGAUGUCAGCGGUUCGAGUCCGCUUACCUCCACUGAUCCACUUCCUAAUAACUCGUUUUUUGAAGAUAGUUAUUCGUUGAAAGUGACUUAGGAGUAGUUCAACUGAUUGAACCUAGCUUCAUAUCAUUCCUUGCUUUAAAACUAUUAAGCUUGGUUGAUAGGACGCUGGGCCCACUAGGAUUUUAGAAAUUCUAGUUAAGUUCAGUAGAACCUUGACAACUGCAUAUGUGAGUCUGGAAAGAAUUAAAGCAUCUUGAAACAUGCUUAGUUUUAUUAGUAUUUUUUCUAAUAGAAUUAAUUUUCAAUUCUAAAUCAAGAGCCGAGAGUUAAUUUUUAAAGAAUCAAAAUUAGCAAUUUAUGCUUGGUUUUGAGCUUUAAACAUAUUGAUAAU